rnacentral:snRNA from 8 species
AUACUUACCUGGCAAGGGAGACACCGUGAUCAAGAAGGCGGGUCACCCAGGGCGAGGCUCAGCCAUUGCACUCCGGCUGUGCUGACCCCUGCGAAUUUCCCAAAUGUGGAAAUCUCGAUUGCAUAAUUUAUGGUAGUGGGGGACUGCGUUCGCGCUCUCCCCUG